rnacentral:rRNA from 1 species
AUUGAACGCUGGCGGCAUGCCUUACACAUGCAAGUCGAACGGCAGCAUGAUCUAGCUUGCUAGAUUGAUGGCGAGUGGCGAACGGGUGAGUAAUACAUCGGAACGUGCCCUGUAGUCGGGGAUAACUAGUCGAAAGAUUAGCUAAUACCGCAUACGACCUGAGGGUGCAAGUGGGGGACCGCAAGGCCUACUGCUAUAGGAUCGGCCGAUGUCUGAUUAGCGAGUUGGUGAGGUAAAGGCUCACCAAGGCGACGCUCAGUAGCUGGUCUGAGAGGACGAUCAGCCACACUGGGACUGAGACACGGCCCAGACUCCUACGGGAGGCAGCAGUGGGGAAUUUUGGACAAUGGGGGCAACCCUGAUCCAGCAAUGCCGCGUGUGUGAAGAAGGCCUUCGGGUUGUAAAGCACUUUUGUCCGGAAAGAAAUCACCCUUACUAAUAUUAGGUGUGGAUGACGGUACCGGAAGAAUAAGGACCGGCUAACUACGUGCCAGCCGCCGCCGUAAUAC